rnacentral:tRNA from 2 species
CCAGAGAUAGCUUAAGUUUAAAGCUCAAGAUUCUUACUUUUGUGAUGUCUAUGUGGUUUGGACUCUUUGGG